rnacentral:lncRNA from 1 species
UUCAAAAAUAUAUUUUACAUGAUAUAUUUUUAAUAAUAUAUAUAUAUAUAUAUAUAUAUAACACUCAAAAGUUUUGAAUUAUUACAUAAACGUUUUCUAAAUUUUCUUCACCAAUAUUUUAUAAAAUAAUUUUUUUUUAAAUCAUGAACAAAAAGUAUGAAUUUGUAAUAUAAAUACAAAGAUACAAAUUUUUGAUUGAAAUGUUGGUAGCUGUCAAAAAGGUACAUCUUGG